UCCUAGUCCCUGAGACCCUAACUUGUGAGGUUUUUAGCAACAAUCACAAGUCAGGCUCUUGGGACCUAGG
rnacentral:pre_miRNA from 2 species